rnacentral:rRNA from 1 species
AGAGUUUGAUCCUGGCUCAGAAUCAACGCUGGCGGCGUGCCUAACACAUGCAAGUCGAACGAGAAAGUCCCGCAAGGGACAAGUAGAGUGGCGAACGGGUGAGUAACACGUGGAUAACCUGCCGUCGAGUGGGGAAUAACCUUCCGAAAGGAGGGCUAAUACCGCAUAACACCCGAGGACACCAGUCCCCGGGUUGAAAGGAGUGAUUCGCUCGAUGAGGGGUCCGCGCCCGAUUAGCUUGUUGGUGGGGUAAUGGCUCACCAAGGCGACAAUCAGUAGCCGUCCUGAGAGGGAGCACGGCCACACUGGAACUGAGACACGGUCCAGACUCCUACGGGAGGCAGCAGUGAGGAAUUUUUGGCAAUGGGCGAAAGCCUGACCAAGCAACGCCGCGUGGGUGAUGAAGUAUUUUGGUACGUAAAACCCUUUCGGCAGGGACGAAUUCUUGACGGUACCUGCGGAAGAAGCCCGGCUAACUCCGUGCCAACAGCCGCGGCAAUA